ensembl:lncRNA
UGGCAUUUGUAAUCAACUAAAAUGAAAUAAAAUCUUUCCGAUUUUCUUUCCUGCAGGACACAGAUUUCUUGGGAGACCAAGCUGUACAAGUUGUAAAGAAUUUUAUGGGUGAAAAAUGGGGCAAGUGGAAGUGUAGAAGAUUUUGCUCAGGAGAACAGCCUGGUUAACUGAACUCGGAAUGCUCAAAGUGCCUAAUUAAUGGCAAAAUAACUGUCUACACAAGUGAGACCGGAGUCAGUAGUAACCAGUGAAAAGAUAAACUCCAAGUCUAAAGUUUGGGAUGGACAUCUAACUGUGCCCAGGAUAGACACUGUUCAUACUCUGAAGACUGCCCAAGCUUCUGGAGCUCAUUUCUAAGAUUUUUGAAGCCAAAAGUCAGGUAGCUGAAUGAAAAACAUGAAGCUUACUCCAAUGUUCUGCAGAAAGCCAUGGUAGAGAGCAGGAACAUUUUGUUUCUUUUGUAGUUUUUGAAUGACUGAAUAAUGCUUACUAUAAAUAAUUCAUUUGCAAGAGAAGGAAACUAAAAGAUCAUAGCUAAGGCCAAUUUGUUGUUUUCUAAGAGGGUGCUUCCAGU